rnacentral:rRNA from 1 species
ACAGUUCAGACUAAGCCAUGCACGUCUAAGUACAAACUAAAUGAUGGUGAAACUGCAAAUGGCUCAUUACAACGGUUAUGAUGUACCCGGGAGUUCCGAUGGAUAUUUCCAGUAACACUAGAACUAAUACAUGUCCCUGCGUUUAUUAGUUUCGCACAGUCCGUCGCUGAGUCAUGGUAAACAGUUGAUCGACUCGACGUCCCGGAACAGUUUCCGCCCCAUCAGCUUCGAUGGUUGGGUAUUGGCCUACCAUUGCAACAACGGGUAACGAGGAAUUGGGGUUUGAUUUGAGAGAGGGCGUGAGAGAAGCGUACACCUCUUCCAGGUAGGGUAGGGGCGCAUCACACCCCCCUGA